rnacentral:tRNA from 1 species
UAAAAUGGUUAUAAAAACAAAAUUUUCAUUGUAAAUGAAAUAUCAACUUGAUUUCAUUUU